rnacentral:rRNA from 1 species
AUUGAACGCUGGCGGCAGGCCUAACACAUGCAAGUCGAGCGGUAACAGUCCUUCGGGAGCUGACGAGCGGCGGACGGGUGAGUAACGCGUAGGGAUCUACCGAUUGGUGGGGGAUAGCCCGAGGAAACUCGGAUUAAUACCGCAUAAGAUCUUCGGAUGAAAGUGGGGGCUCUUCGGACCUCACGCCAAUCGAUGAACCUGCGUUGGAUUAGCUAGUUGGUUAGGUAAAGGCUGACCAAGGCGACGAUCCAUAGCUGGUCUGAGAGGAUGAUCAGCCACACUGGGACUGAGACACGGCCCAGACUCCUACGGGAGGCAGCAGUGGGGAAUAUUGGACAAUGGGGGAAACCCUGAUCCAGCCAUGCCGCGUGUGUGAAGAAGGCUCUAGGGUUGUAAAGCACUUUCAGUGGUGAGGAAGGGUUUGUAGUUAAUAUCUACAAGCAUUGACGUUAACCACAGAAGAAGCACCGGCUAACUCCG